rnacentral:rRNA from 1 species
UACGGGGGGAGCAAGCGUUGUUCGGAUUUACUGGGCGUAAAGGGCGCGUAGGCGGUCGUGACAAGUCUCUUGUGAAAUCUCCGGGCUUAACUCGGAACGGUCAAGUGAUACUGUCGGACUAGAGUACAGAAGGGGCAACUGGAAUUCUCGGUGUAGCGGUGAAAUGCGUAGAUAUCGAGAGGAACACCUGCGGCGAAGGCGGGUUGCUGGGCUGAUACUGACGCUGAGGCGCGAAAGCCAGGGGAGCGAACGGG